GACAGGUUGGACUGGACAAUGCAGUUUAAUAUUUUUUAAUCUAUUUUCAUCCUUCAAAUGGAUAAUUUCAUCGUGUGACAGAAAGAGGAGCUGGACUCUGAUCCUGAUCCUCCAAACUACAGGGUGAAACACCAGGAAGCUGUAUUCGCCACCUCAUGAUCAGCAUUGAGGGGCACACCAUUUGUGAGGGCACCUCGCUCGCCACAGUCUUU